rnacentral:tRNA from 1 species
GAAGGUAUAGCUCAAAGGGCAGAGUGCAUGCUUAGCAUGUAGGAGGUCCUAGGUUCAAUCCCCAGUACCUCCC